ACGGAGAGUUUGAUCCUGGCUCAGGAUGAACGCUGGCGGCGUGCUUAACACAUGCAAGUCGAACGGAAAGGCCCUUCGGGGUACUCGAGUGGCGAACGGGUGAGUAACACGUGGGUGAUCUGCCCCGCACUUCGGGAUAAGCCUGGGAAACUGGGUCUAAUACCGGAUAGGACCACUUCUUGGAGGUUGUGGUGGAAAGUUUUUUCGGUGUGGGAUGAGCUCGCGGCCUAUCAGCUUGUUGGUGGGGUAAUGGCCUACCAAGGCGUCGACGGGUAGCCGGCCUGAGAGGGUGUACGGCCACAUUGGGACUGAGAUACGGCCCAGACUCCUACGGGAGGCAGCAGUAGGGAAUCUUAGACAAUGGGGGCAACCCUGAUCUAGCCAUGCCGCGUGUGUGAUGAAGGCCCUAGGGUCGUAAAGCACUUUCGCCAGAGAUGAUAAUGACAGUAUCUGGUAAAGAAACCCCGGCUAACUCCGUGCCAGCAGCCGCGGUAAUACG
rnacentral:rRNA from 1 species